rnacentral:rRNA from 1 species
AGCUUGCUAAGGCUGAUGGCGACCGGCACACGGGUGAGUAACACGUAUCCAACCUGCCGUCUACUCUUGGCCAGCCUUCUGAAAGGAAGAUUAAUCCAGGAUGGCAUCAUGAGUUCACAUGUCCGCAUGAUUAAAGGUAUUUUCCGGUAGACGAUGGGGAUGCGUUCCAUUAGAUAGUAGGCGGGGUAACGGCCCACCUAGUCAACGAUGGAUAGGGGUUCUGAGAGGAAGGUCCCCCACAUUGGAACUGAGACACGGUCCAAACUCCUACGGGAGGCAGCAGUGAGGAAUAUUGGUCAAUGGGCGAUGGCCUGAACCAGCCAAGUAGCGUGAAGGAUGACUGCCCUAUGGGUUGUAAACUUCUUUUAUAAAAGAAUAAAGUCGGGUAUGCAUACCCGUUUGCAUGUACUUUAUGAAUAAGGAUCGGCUAACUCCGUGCCAGCAGCCGCGGUAAUACGGAGGAUCCGAGCGUUAUCCGGAUUUAUUGGGUUUAAAGGGAGCGUAGAUGGAUGUUUAAGUCAGUUGUGAAAGUUUGCGGCUCAACCGUAAAAUUGCAGUUGAUACUGGAUGUCUUGAGUGCAGUUGAGGCAGGCGGAAUUCGUGGUGUAGCGGUGAAAUGCUUAGAUAUCACGAAGAACUCCGAUUGCGAAGGCAGCCUGC